CGGGCGGAGCGCCGGUCUAAGUUCCUUGGAACGGGACGUCAUAGAGGGUGAGAAUCCCGUAUGUGACCGGUGACGAAGCCCAUGUGAAACUCCUUCGACGAGUCGAGUUGUUUGGGAAUGCAGCUCAAAAUGGGUGGUAAAUUUCAUCUAAAGCUAAAUACCGGCCAGAGACCGAUAGCGCACAAGUAGAGUGAUCGAAAGAUGAAAAGCACUUUGGAAAGAGAGUCAAAAAGUACGUGAAAUUGUUGAAAGGGAAGCGCUUGCAACCAGACCUGCCCGCGGGUGAUCAGCCGUCCUUCUGGGCGGUGCACUCGCCCGUGAUCAGGCCAGCAUCGGUUCGGGCGGCCGGAUAAAGGCCUUGGGAACGUAGCUUCUUUCGGGGAGUGUUAUAGCCCUCGGUGCAAUGCGGCCAGCCUGGACCGAGGACCGCGCUUCGGCUAGGAUGCUGGCGUAAUGGUUGUAAGCGGCCCGUCUUGAAACACGGACCAAGGAGUCUAACACCUAUGCGAGUGUUUGGGUGUCAAACCCAUACGCGUAAUGAAAGUGAACGGAGGUGGGAACCCCUUCCGGGGCGCACCAUCGACCGAUCCAGAUGUCUUCGGAUGGAUUUGAGUACGAGCAUGGUCGUUAGGACCCGAAAGAUGGUGAACUAUGCCUGAAUAGGGUGAAGCCAGAGGAAACUCUGGUGGAGGCUCGCAGCGGUUCUGACGUGCAAAUCGAUCGUCAAAUUUGGGUAUAGGGGCGAAAGACUAAUCGAACUAUC
rnacentral:rRNA from 1 species